AGGAAUAUUAGUAAAGAUAAAGCUUCUAACUUAAAUCUUAAGCGGUUAAAUUCCGUUUAUAUUCCUG
rnacentral:tRNA from 1 species